GAUGAACGCUGGCGGCGUGCCUAAUACAUGCAAGUCGAGCGAACAGAUGAGAAGCUUGCUUCUCUGAUGUUAGCGGCGGACGGGUGAGUAACACGUGGGUAACCUACCUAUAAGACUGGGAUAACUCCGGGAAACCGGGGCUAAUACCGGAUAAUAUUUUGAACCGCAUGGUUCAAUAGUGAAAGACGGUUUUGGCUGUCACUUAUAGAUGGACCCGCGCCGUAUUAGCUAGUUGGUAAGGUAACGGCUUACCAAGGCGACGAUACGUAGCCGACCUGAGAGGGUGAUCGGCCACACUGGAACUGAGACACGGUCCAGACUCCUACGGGAGGCAGCAGUAGGGAAUCUUCCGCAAUGGGCGAAAGCCUGACGGAGCAACGCCGCGUGAGUGAUGAAGUUCUUCGGAUCGUAAAACUCUGUUGUUAGGGAAGAACAAAUUUGUUAGUAACUGAACAAGUCUUGACGGUACCUAACCAGAAAGCCACGGCUAACUACGUGCCAGCCGCCGCUGUAA
rnacentral:rRNA from 1 species